rnacentral:misc_RNA from 1 species
AUGAAAAACAUAUCCAAAAUUCAAGCCAAAAAAAUGAACAGUAUGUAUACAUAUGUACUAUCUAUAACUGAGAAAAAUGAGAUAAGAGCAUGUUUGCUAUAAGACCUCGAUUCUUUAUUCCUAGUCAUGAAAACUGAGCCAAAAUGCAUAUAUUUUCUUCCGCCAACAACUAACACAAUUCAUUCUAAAUUCAUAAUGCAUUUGCACAAAGAGUUGAUAUAUAUUAUAGGGGCCACACCAUCCUGAGUCUGAGCAUAAUCACUGUAGCAGAUAAUGAUUCCAAGUGUAAGUGAUCUGGAUCUGAACCCCAUAUGAAAGUUUGGCAGCUUUAAGUAUUCAAGCACCCAGAUAUCCCAUCAGCGUGUUUUCCUUUGCAGGACAAUGAUGGAGUAGUUGGAAGGGGUGGAAUAAUGCACUCCGUCCUAUCAUUGUAUCAGCCAGGAACUUGGAGAAAACCAGGAAACACAAUUCUGUGAUGCCACAGUUUCUCAUGGUUGAUAAAAAUAAGUUUCAUAAUGGAUUUGCCAAAAUGGGAACCCGAGAGUUGAAAUUCAUGGAGUAGCUGCUGAUCCCUGCCAUUUCCCCAUGCAUGUUCACAUGCUCUCAACUUAUAAGAGAAGCAUUGGCCGUCAUACACCAUGAUUAACCUGAAAUUACACGAUUUCUGUUGACAUCAACAGGGGAUGCUUGUGGUCCAAAAUAGAUGGUCAACAUGCCAAACCCCCAGCAAAAAGGAGGUCACAUAUCUUUUCUUCCAUAGGAACACUAUUCCAACUAUAACCAUCAGCCAUCAGACGACUCUUUUCCUUUCUAUAAGUUUCUGUUUCACAAAUGCUACCACUUCUUUCUAAACCAGAUAAUAGAACAUUAUAUGUACCUAAAGAAGAAUUGAUCCCUUUCUUUUUCAUGGUUUUAUAGAUUUUAAGUGCUUUUUCUGUACUACCAGCUGAGAAGUAUACACCAACCAUAGCAGUAUAAGUAGCAGUGCACUUCUGUUCAUCAGGCAGUAAAUUAAAAAUCUUUGCAGCACAAGUGGGCCUUCUAGCAGACCCAAGCCUAUAAAUUAAGAGACAACCUAGAUACAGUCCAAGAGAAUGCCCAGCCCUAAUCAUUUCCUUGAUAAUAUCCACAAUCCUCAAGAAUGUAUUUGAUCUUAUCAAAAUGCCAAUCAGGGCAAGAUAUGCUGUUUUUUCAAGGUCUAUGCCCAUUCUCAUACUGUAUUCAAAGGCUAAUAAAGCACUAUCAGGUCUGCAUUGCCUGCAGUUUACCUCAAUAAUAGUCGAGACAAUCCAAGAAUCCAAAAGAAUACUCUUAUCAAUAACCCCAGCAAGUAAAUGGUCAACAGCCACAAGAUUUUGCUUUUUCAAAAGAAUCAGUAAAAGUCCUCUGUCCAAAGGAUCAUCAUCAGCACUUGUAAUGAUCACAGGCGCAUCCUCAUUAUUGAUAGAUUCAGUAGCAAAAUGAGGAUUAACUUGCCUGAGGAGGGUAUCACUCUCACCGGAAAUUCUUAGAGUUUUGAGUGCUUCCUGAAAGAUAGAGUAACGAAGAGAAAGAUGAUUGUUUUUCAUAUAUUGAAGAAUUUGGGCCAUUGUGUUUGUUUCACCACCUUUGCAACAUCUCUCAACCAAAAUAUUGCAUACAGCUUUGUCAGGUUGUACCCCUGCUUCUUGCAUUUUGCUGAAAAUCUCAAGUGCUUCUUGGUACUUGCCAGCAAGGACAAGGUACUCCAUUAGGACAGUAUACGUGUGGCAAUUUGGAGCAAUCCCAGAUUCAAGCAUCUCCUUAUAAACAUCAGUUGCCUCCUUCACUCUCUUAUUAUCAAAGAGAACCUUCAUAUAAGCCGUAUAAGAAACAACUGUAGGAUAACACCCAUUUUCCUUCAUUUCUUUCCAAAUCUUUACAGCUCCAUCAACAUCCCCAGAGCUCGAAACCCAGUGCAUAAGCGAAGUGUAAGUAACCGCAUCGAUCUUUAUCCCCUUCUCUUGCAUUUGCUUAAACACAUAAUUCAUAGACGCAAUCCUGCCAGCUUCUCCAAAGAUGUCCAGCAUUGUUGUGUAGGUAAACUGGUCGUGCUUAAACCCUUUAAGCCCCGAAGCCCAGUUGAAAAAAAGCCACGCCUUCUCCAUUGGUGGGUGAGUUUUUAACACUUGAUUGACAGUGUAAGAGUCCCAUUGUAUACCCAGUUUCGAUAGGUGUUCUUUUGCAGUGUCCCAAGUGGAGUAUUUCAAGAUUCUAUAUAUGUUUGAAAUGGUGUUUCUCAUGUAAACCUUUGGGUCCUCUACACCUUUCUUGCAUAUUGAUUUGGCUGUUUUUCUUGAAAUUUUGGUGAACUGCUUGAUGGGUUCUCUGGGUUUGGAUUGGUGAAAGGAAUGAAAACAUUUCAUGAAACUGCUGGAGUAAUGAAAAGGCCACUCACUAUAAAUAGAUUUGAUGAGAAAUCUAUUGAUGCCACUAAAAUACACCAUGUUAAGACUAUUUAACGAUCACAACUCUUGAUAGGCAAUUCCGCCAUCCGGAACUUCCAUAAUCAGGCCAAUAAGAAGA